AUGCUUCAUUUGCCACCCAAGUCAGCUAAUACACAGGAACAACCUGUAGUCAGGUACAUGAUUCUCCUCUUAUUCCUCUAUAACUCAAGAGGAUGUGUUCAAGUUUUGUCUGCCAUUUUCAUGGUUGCCAACAUGUGUUUAGUUUCCCAGUUGCAUAGGGAGAUGCUAAUGAUGCCUCCUUUGUGGCAUGAGGGUCAUUUUUUCCUUUCUUUUCACAUAUUUGUUGUUUUAGUAACAAGCAUCUCUGUAGUUGAUUACAAAGUUGUUGUUUCACAUAAUGCCAAAGUGAGAAUGAGUAGCAGCGCAUUUUCAGGUUGA
rnacentral:rRNA from 1 species